rnacentral:antisense_RNA from 1 species
CUUCACCGACCCCAGCCACAGCGGCCGCUCCGCAGGGCGGUCCUGACCGUAGGUGGCCAGGAGGGCCUGGGCCUC